rnacentral:rRNA from 1 species
UUAAGUUAUUAAGGGCGCACGGUGGAUGCCUUGGCACUAGAAGCCGAUGAAGGACGUUACUAACGACGAUAUGCUUUGGGGAGCUGUAAGUAAGCUUUGAUCCAGAGAUUUCCGAAUGGGGAAACCCAGCAUGAGUUAUGUCAUGUUAUCGAUAUGUGAAUACAUAGCAUAUCAGAAGGCACACCCGGAGAACUGAAACAUCUUAGUACCCGGAGGAAGAGAAAGAAAAUUCGAUUCCCUUAGUAGCGGCGAGCGAAACGGGAAGAGCCCAAACCAACAAGCUUGCUUGUUGGGGUUGUAGGACACUCUAUACGGAGUUACAAAGGACGACAUUAGACGAAUCAUCUGGAAAGAUGAAUCAAAGAAGGUAAUAAUCCUGUAGUCGAAAAUGUUGUCUCUCUUGAGUGGAUCCUGAGUACGACGGAGCACGUGAAAUUCCGUCGGAAUCUGGGAGGACCAUCUCCUAAGGCUAAAUACUCUCUAGUGACCGAUAGUGAACCAGUACCGUGAGGGAAAGGUGAAAAGCACCCCGGAAGGGGAGUGAAAUAGAACCUGAAACCGUGUGCUUACAAGUAGUCAGAGCCCGUUAAUGGGUGAUGGCGUGCCUUUUGUAGAAUGAACCGGCGAGUUACGAUUUGAUGCAAGGUUAAGCAGUAAAUGUGAAGCCGUAGCGAAAGCGAGUCUGAAUAGGGCGUUUAGUAUUUGGUCGUAGACCCGAAACCAGGUGAUCUACCCUUGGUCAGGUUGAAGUUCAGGUAACACUGAAUGGAGGACCGAACCGACUUACGUUGAAAAGUGAGCGGAUGAACUGAGGGUAGCGGAGAAAUUCCAAUCGAACCUGGAGAUAGCUGGUUCUCUCCGAAAUAGCUUUAGGGCUAGCCUCAAGUGAUGAUUAUU